UAGAAUGACGGGACCGCACAAGCGGUGGAUGAUGUGGUUAAUUCGAUGCAACGCGAAAACCUUACCACCUUUGACAUGUACGGAAUCCUUUAGAGAUAGAGGAGUGCUCGAAAGAGAGCCGUAACACAGGUGCUGCAUGGCUGUCGUCAGCUCGUGUCGUGAGAUGUUGGGUUAAGUCCCGCAACGAGCGCAACCCUUGUCAUUAGUUGCUACAUUCAGUUGGGCACUCUAAUGAGACUGCCGGUGACAAACCGGAGGAAGGUGGGGAUGACGUCAAGUCCUCAUGGCCCUUAUAGGUGGGGCUACACACGUCAUACAAUGGCUGGUACAAAGGGUUGCCAACCCGCGAGGGGGAGCCAAUCCCAUAAAGCCAGUCGUAGUCCGGAUCGCAGUCUGCAACUCGACUGCGUGAAGUCGGAAUCGCUAGUAAUCGUGGAUCAGCAUGUCACCGGUGAAUACGUUCCCGGUCUU
rnacentral:rRNA from 1 species